GGAAUAGGUAUACUACAGUUCUUGAAGAAAAAAGACUGACUUUCCACAUUGCUCAUCAACAACAUCAAUGAGUUCAGAGCUCUCCGAGUUGUCCUUUCCAUGAAGGUACAUACUUAACACAGAAAUACUCCCAACUGCUUCCUUAAUUCUCCACAAAUGGGUAUGUAUGAUACAGGUAUUUUCUCUCUAGUUCACAUAUUGUCCAUGUUACAUGUGCAUGCAUGAAUACACACAUGUAUAGAGGUCUAUACCUUUUCUAUCCCCUUUGCCUAAAUACACAUGUUCUCUUAUUCUGGGGUGUCUUCUCUUGCUUUAAGAAUUAAUAGCAAGGAGUUUAGUCAUUUGGAAGAAGAGUACAGGCACUAUAUUUAUACUUGGGGCAAAAGAAAUGGGAUGCAGAUUUUUUUUACCUUGAUCAUUUUCCUAGGAAAAAACAAAGUAUCUGGAACCACUGGCUCUGGUUCAGUCCCACCAACCUUUGAUUACUAAUGGUUUAAAGCUUAUUUGUGAGGGAUCAUGACAAGGACUGAAAAUUUUACACCAUAUCUAUUUUAAAAGGAUUUUUGAUUGAGAGAAGUAAAUUAACCUCUAACUAAAUGAAAUAGUUUUACACAGAAUAGAGGGACACUUUUAUAAAUAUGCCUACUGAGGAAUGACUUUAAUCAUCCUCACAUUGUUUGAAAUAUUUGUCCUAGUUUGGUAUCACUUGUGUACCAAAUGCCCUGAUUUCUGUAUAGGAAUAAUGCUUUCUGGGUAACCAAAAUAAUUACCAAGCCCCAGGCAAUAGUCAAAUAAUCAUUUGUUCAAUUGAAUUAAUUUAUCUCAUGUAAUUUUUGCUCUGGAGAUAUUUCAGUACAACCAAAGAAUAGUAGUAGUAGUCUCUCGGUAACUGAGGAUGAUGAUUGUCUUUGUGCGCUUUCAUCUAUGAUAGAUGAGUGUGCACAAAGACACUUGUGCGUGAAGGAGAUUUAAGUGGAAAAGUCGAUGCACAGAGACAGUCCCACUCGGUGUUGGAAGCCUGGGUCCAGUGGCAUGAAAAGUCGUUACACCUGGAGACUUCCUCAGCUGCAUUGGAUGGCCGUGUUGUCUUUUGUGCUCCAAAACGCCCUAAGCACUCCACAGUGCUUUGCUAUGUGGCCAUCUCAGCCGUUGAACCUUCUUGUUGGUUUCUUCCGUCUGUUCAGCCGAAGCAGUCUUCACAUGCUCGUAUUAUCCUGUACCUUCAUUGCUCUACUGCCACCAGGAGAUAUCAUGGCCAAGAUGAAGAAGGAAUGGCUUCCCCCUAGGACCUGGUUUUUUGCAGAGAAAGGGGAUGGAACAUGGCCUUCUGUGGAAAAGAGAAUGGCACAGGUGAUUAGACCAGAAUAA
rnacentral:lncRNA from 1 species